AUUGAACGCUGGCGGCAGGCCUAACACAUGCAAGUCGAGCGGAUGAAGGGAGCUUGCUCCUGGAUUCAGCGGCGGACGGGUGAGUAAUGCCUAGGAAUCUGCCUGGUAGUGGGGAUAACGUCCGGAAACGUGCGCUAAUACCGCAUACGUCCUGAGGGAGAAAGUGGGGGAUCUUCGGACCUCACGCUAUCAGAUGAGCCUAGGUCGGAUUAGCUAGUUGGUGGGGUAAAGGCCUACCAAGGCGACGAUCCGUAACUGGUCUGAGAGGAUGAUCAGUCACACUGGAACUGAGACACGGUCCAGACUCCUACGGGAGGCAGCAGUGGGGAAUAUUGGACAAUGGGCGAAAGCCUGAUCCAGCCAUGCCGCGUGUGUGAAGAAGGUCUUCGGAUUGUAAAGCACUUUAAGUUGGGAGGAAGGGCAGUAAGUUAAUACCUUGCUGUUUUGACGUUACCAACAGAAUAAGCACCGGCUAACUUCGUG
rnacentral:rRNA from 1 species